rnacentral:rRNA from 1 species
GUGGGGAAUUUUGGACAAUGGGCGCAAGCCUGAUCCAGCAAUGCCGCGUGUGUGAAGAAGGCCUUCGGGUUGUAAAGCACUUUUGUCCGGAAAGAAAUCUCCUGGGUUAAUACCUCGGGGGGAUGACGGUACCGGAAGAAUAAGCACCGGCUAACUACGUGCCAGCAGCCGCGGUAAUACGUAGGGUGCGAGCGUUAAUCGGAAUUACUGGGCGUAAAGCGUGCGCAGGCGGCUAUGCAAGACAGAUGUGAAAUCCCCGGGCUCAACCUGGGAACUGCAUUUGUGACGGCAUGGCUAGAGUGCGUCAGAGGGAGGUGGAAUUCCGCGUGUAGCAGUGAAAUGCGUAGAGAUGCGGAGGAACACCGAUGGCGAAGGCAGCCUCCUGGGAUGACACUGACGCUCAUGCACGAAAGCGUGGGGAGCAAACAGGAUUAGAUACCCCGGUAGUCC